rnacentral:rRNA from 1 species
UACGGAGGAGGCAAGCGUUAUCCGGAAUUAUUGGGCGUAAAGCGUCCGCAGGUGGCUAUUCAAGUCUGCGGUCAAAGACUGGGGCUUAACCCUGGAAAGGCCGUGGAAACUGAAGAGCUAGAGUGCAGUAGGGGUAGAGGGAAUUCCCGGUGUAGCGGUGAAAUGCGUAGAGCUCGGGAAGAACAUCGGUGGCGAAAGCGCUCUGCUGGACCAUAACUGACACUCAGGGACGAAAGCUAGGGGAGCGAAUGGG